CCUACGGGAGUCAGCAGUGAGGAAUAUUGGUCAAUGGACGCAAGUCUGAACCAGCCAUGCCGCGUGCAGGAAGACGGCUCAAUGAGUUGUAAACUGCUUUUGUACGAGGGUAAACGCAGAUACGCGUAUCUGUCUGAAAGUAUCGUACGAAUAAGGAUCGGCUAACUCCGUGCCAGCAGCCGCGGUAAUACGGAGGAUUCAAGCGUUAUCCGGAUUUAUUGGGUUUAAAGGGUGCGUAGGCGGGCGGAUAAGUUAGCGGUUAAAUCCCGAGGCUCAACAUCGGAAUUGCCUCUGAUACUGUUCGGCUAGAGAGUAGUUGCAGUAGGCGGAAUGUGUGGUGUAGCGGUGAAAUGCUUAGAGAUCAUACAGAACACCGAUUGCGAAGGCAGCAUACCAGGCUACUUCUGACGUUGAGGCACGAAAGCGUGGGGAGCAAACAGGAUUAGAUACCCGAGUAGUC
rnacentral:rRNA from 1 species